rnacentral:rRNA from 1 species
GACGAACGCUGGCGGCGUGCUUAACACAUGCAAGUCGAACGUGAUUUUUGUGGAAAUUCUUUCGGGAAUGGAAAUGAAAUGAAAGUGGCGAACGGGUGAGUAACACGUGAGCAACCUACCUUACACAGGGGGAUAGCCGUUGGAAACGACGAUUAAUACCGCAUGAGACCACAGAAUCGCAUGAUAUAGGGGUCAAAGAUUUAUCGGUGUAAGAAGGGCUCGCGUCUGAUUAGCUAGUUGGAAGGGUAAAGGCCUACCAAGGCGACGAUCAGUAGCCGGUCUGAGAGGAUGAACGGCCACAUUGGAACUGAGACACGGUCCAAACUCCUACGGGAGGCAGCAGUGGGGAAUAUUGCACUCUGGGGGGAACCCUGUUCCGCGACAUCGCUUGAUCUAUCAA